UACGGGGGAUGCAAGCGUUAUUCGGAAUUAUUGGGCGUAAAGGGCGCGUAGGCGGUUUUAAAAGUCAGGUGUGAAAGCCCGGGGCUUAACCCCGGAAGAGCAUUUGAAACUAUAAGACUUGAGUACGGUAGAGGAAAGCGGAAUUCCUGGUGUAGAGGUGAAAUUCGUAGAUAUCAGGAGGAACACCGGUGGCGAAGGCGGCUUUCUGGGCCUGUACUGACGCUGAGGCGCGAAGGCGUGGGUAGCGAACAGGAUUAGAUACCCUGGUAGUCCAUGCAGUAAACGUUGUACACUUGGUGUUGCGGGUAUUGACCCCUGCAGUGCCGAAGCAAACGCGAUAAGUGUACCGCCUGGGGAGUACGGUCGCAAGACUAAA
rnacentral:rRNA from 1 species